AGCACAAAUAUCAACAUAAAAACGUUAGGUCAAGGUGUAGCCUAUGAAGAGGAAAGAAAUGGGCUACAUUUCCUUUACAAGUACAUCACGUAAACUCUUAUGAAAUUAAAAGUAUAAGGAGGAUUUAGCAGUAAGCUAUGAAUAGAGAGCCUAGCUGAAUAGGGCCAUGAAGCACGCACACACCGCCCGUCACCCUCCUCAAGCUCUAAGGAUCAACAUAAUAUAAUAUAUACCCAUUAAAUGCAAGAGGAGAUAAGUCGUAACAUGGUAAGCAUACUGGAAAGUGUGCUUGGAGUAAU
rnacentral:rRNA from 1 species